rnacentral:rRNA from 1 species
CCUACGGGAGGCUGCAGUGGGGAAUAUUGCGCAAUGGGCGAAAGCCUGACGCAGCGACGCCGCGUGAGGGAUGAAGGUCUUCGGAUCGUAAACCUCUGUCAGCAGGGAAGAACGGUCACUGUGCUAAUCCGCAGUGAAUUGACGGUACCUGCAAAGGCCGCAUCGGCUAACUCCGUGCCAGCAGCCGCGGGAAUACGGAGGGUGCGAGCGUUAAUCGGAAUUACUGGGCGUAAAGCGUUCGUAGGCGGUCUGUCAAGUCAAGGGUGAAAUCCCCGCGCACAACGUGGGCAGUGCCUUUGAAACUGGCAGACUGGAGUGGGGGAGAGGAGAGUGGAAUUCGAGGUGUAGGAGUGAAAUCCGUAGAUAUCGGGAGGAACAUCAGUGGCGAAGGCGACUAUCUGGC